rnacentral:rRNA from 1 species
AAUGGCCGAGACAAAGGGUCGCGAUCCCGCGAGGAUGAGCUAACCCCAAAAACCCGUCCUCAAUUCGGAUUGCAGGCUGCAACUCGCCUGCAUGAAG